AGGAAAACCCCGGCCCUGCUGUGAUCCUCAGAACCCUGGGAAUUGGCCGUGCCCCACGAACGGACCUCCAGGUCCCCUAACGCUCAAGGAGUCCUCAGUCAGUACGUUCAAAGAGAAAGUUUGGGGUUUGGCGAACCUUAAACAACUAAGCGAUGUAUGAUGUGUUAGAGACCUGCAACAGCGUCCAGAUGCUCCCUGAAUGCGGAGACAAGCCACUCACGCUACCUUUGCUCGAAGAGCACUGCUCCGCACACAUUGAAUGUUCAAGAAAAGGACCACGGACUCCUAUCCCAGAGACUCAUAGACCCAGAGAAAUUCUGAAUUUACCACCAAAUGUGUAUUUCAGAACCAGAAAGGUGACCGGUUGCCCACCCCCAUAAGCAGGCUUUUAAGAAAGUAGAUUGGCCCUGGGAAGUUUGUAAAUCUUCAACUAGCUGUUGCCAUUAUCUUAAGGGAAGUAUUUACAGUGAGUAAACGGCGUGAAUAAUACCCUGGUAUGUGAUGAGGGGGAUGAUUUCCUGGUCCUGAGGUCGUUAACUGCGCUGCCCUAAGAAGGAAGAAACUGACUUCAUGGAGCAGGGUUGUUCUUUGCCAGUCAGUCAAGAGAAUUUUUUUUUUAAGGGUCAGACAUGCAGAGACGGCCCUUAGGUCAGAAGACAGGGAACCUCUCAGCCCUUGAGCUCCUCAGUCUGGAAGGGCACACAGAAAAAAGGCAGAGGGCAUGAUGAUAGAAGCUAUAAGGUGAGGAAACCGGGAGUGAGUAAGGGAGAGCCUUCCUGGGAAUGAACACUUCCUGGGAAGGGUGAACCGAAGACAAGGAGGAGCGGAAGUGUUUCGAAGAGCAGAAGCCACUUGUGCAAAGGCCAGUCAAUCCCACAGUGAGCUGAGCUUGCUGGGCGUCUUAGGCGGCAGAGCAGUGCUUCUAAUCCAGCUUGUGGUGUGUGAUUCCUCUUUUCCUGUAUGCAGUUUUAGGGAAAGUGAGCCUUUAGGGAAAGGCUCCUCUUACUGGCAUUUGGUUGUCCUUACAGGCCAUAAGUCCAAAUUUUAUAUGACUGGCUUUUUUUUUUCUAUUUUAAAACUUUUAAUGCUUUGUUAGUAUUAUCAAUUACGCAUAAUAAUAGGUUUCAUGAAAACAUUUUCAUACAUGGGUACAACAUAUUUAUCAUAUUCACUCCGCCAUUGCCCAUUUUUGUCACCCUCCACUUCCUCUGAACCCCUUCCUCUUGCCAGCUAGCCCCCUUCUGCACUGAUCCACCGGAAGGUCAGUGGACAACUUUUGGGAGUUGGUUCUCCUUCUACCACGUGGGUCCUAGGAAUUAACUAGGGUCAUUUAGUUUGGUAUCAAGAGCCUUUACUCACUGAGCCAUCACACCAGCACGAUUUUUUUUUUUAAUCCAAUGAGUUUUUUUGAGAGUUGUUUCAAGGAUCCUAUAUAGGUGAGAUGUUAAUUACAGGAGCAUGGCAAACUUACCAGCCGCUACACUACUGAAGAAAAUAUUUCUUUCUCCUCCAGCAACCAUUAACAAUACAUCUUUAGCCUCCCCACUAGGGCCUGUGACCUUCCCAGCCAUAUGCUUUUAAACAGAUUUACAGUAUCAGAUAUAAAUUCCCUCUUAUGGAGCAGGCCUCAAUUCUAGUCAGGAAGUGGUUGGUAACCACCAUUGCAGACUUCCACUAGUGCAUCAGCGGGUACACUUUACCUGGCAGGUCAGUAAUGUGCCAAGUAGAGACCACAGCCGAGUAAGACUACUGAUGACAAUUUUCCACCAGCAGUCUGCAUAGCACCUUCUGGAACUGAGGGCUAGCUAGCUGGAGGGAGCAUCCAGCUCUAUAUCACCUUGAUUUCUAUAUGUCCUGCAGUCUCUUCUCCGAACACACACACACACACACACACACACACACACACACACACACACUGUAUUUUGAUCAUACCCACCCCCUAUUACCCUCCCUUAUCACUCUCUCCCACUCCUACUGAGACUCUUCUUUUUCCCCCAAAGUCCCCAUCUGUGUGUCUGUGUGCCAUAGAGUUUAGUUAGGAUUGUGGGCUGGGAUUUAUUUACUGGAGCAACUUAACGGUGGCUGCACCACUGAAGAAAAUGAUUCCCCUCCCCCAGCAGCCAUUCCUUAACUGCCUAUAGCUCCUCAGAGAGGGGAGGGUUCUUGUGAGCCCCUCCUGGUCCAUGCUGGAAUGUUGACCCCCUUCAAUUGUGUGUCAGUAACCACAGCUGCUGUGAGUUCAUGAGCACAAAGGCCGUGUCAAGUCCAGCGGACAGCCUUUCCCAGCACCCUCCCCAUCCUUGGGCUCUUGCAUUCUUCCUGCCCCAUCCUCCUUGAAGUUCUCUGGACCUCAGAGGUAGUUGGUGUGCUUGUCUCAUUCAGGGCUGAUCACAUCUCAGGCCCAGAUCGCUCUUUGGCCAGUUGUGGAUCUCUACAUUAACCUCUGCCCACUGAAAAUGGAGCUUCUGACGGAGGCCGAGAGCAGCACUGCCCUGUGGGUUUAAACGUCUGCGUGUGUUUCUCCAGUGCAGGAUGGAAACACUACAGUGACUCUUCCUCUUUGUCAUUGGUCUUAAAUAACUGUUGACAACAUGUCUGUGACACGUUCAGUAAAUGCCAUUUCAUGCUUUUGAUGGGAAUUCAUAAUAGGUCUCCUACCCCUCUCGUUCCCGUUCUACACCGUUUAAUCUUAAUCUAAAGCAAAAACUGAAGCUUCUUGUUGUAGAAAACAAAGCAACAACCAAAACCCUAUCAAAGGCUUUGUUUUUUCUUACCAGUUACCAAGCUAGUGGACAUACAGUGAAGGUCGUGAAGAGUGUUACUAAUGGCUAGUGAAUAAAGUUCAAAUUCCCCAGCCAGGUAGGUGUGUUCAGGGUUGAGAUUGGACCCAGCCUCCCUCACAGUUCUCCUACUGUCCCCAUCAACCUGAUGUUAAGAGUGGCUUGGGGACCCAUACCUUUAAUCCCAGGACUUAGGAGGCAGCUACAGGCCAGUUUCUUCGAGCUUGGUCUAUAUGUCAAGUUCCAGUCCAGACAAGGCUACCCUGUCUCAGAAAAAAAAAAAAAAAUGUGGGAGGCUGUCUCAUUUCAUCAUCAUUCUUCUGUGGAUUCCUUCAGGGACAGCAAAUCUCAUGUAAUAUAGUCCUGAUUACUUUCUCCUAGAUAUUAUAUGAAGCCCUCCUAGUACUAUGGGAGAAUAACAGAGGGGUAGGCGAUUAGGUGUUUCACCUCCUACAGUCAGUGCUCUAACGAUGUCAGUAUGUCCAAUGCAUGAAUGAGUGAAGUCUUAACUCACUUCCUCUGCACUGCAGACUUGGAGCUUCCCUAUUUUGCAAUUUCUCACUUGUAAUUUGUUAUCAUAGCCGUCCAAAUGGCAGGCAUCGGAAUUGAAAACUUUAAUAACCCUCUAAUUAGACAUCCAAAGCUAGCUUUUUAUUUGAAAAAUAUCGGUGCUGAUGCCAGAUUCUUCUAAUUUCCCUUCUUCUCCAUUAACUCUAAUACUAAAUUGUUACUAAAGAUACAAAAACAAUUUCACUUGAAGUAGCAUUAAUCUUUCUUCCUAGGACAUCUUCCUGUUGCAGAGUUCAAAAUUAGUACACUGUUCUACUAAAGACUGUUCCAAGGCACCUUUAAUCCCAGCACUCAGGAGGCAGAGGCAGGCGGAUCUCUGUGAGUUUGAGGCCAGCCUGGUCUCCAGAGCGAAUGCCAGGAUAGGCUCCAAAGCUACACAGAGAAACCCUGUCUCAAAAAAAAAAAAAAAAAAAAAAAAAGUACACUGUUCCACUAAAGAAAGUUUCCUUUCUUCUUUCAUCUGAAAUCAUUUGUAAUUAAUCACUCCAUUUCUGAAUGAGCAUUUAAGGUUAUGAGUGUUUCCAACUGGUGCUGAAGAAAUCUUUACUGGUCAUUGUUUCCUUAAUAUAAAGCAUUUGGGAAAUCAAGUUUUACAGAUUGCUAAGAUUGACAUUGGAACUGCAAGACUGCUUGCUUUUUCAUCUCAUUUCCUCUCUGGCUCUUGCGCUGGGUUUUGAAUUCAUCUGGAGUUCCGCUGCUUUCUUCACAGGGUUUGGUAACUGCAACAAGGUUGCACCAGACAAGAUCUUACAGUCCACUUCCUUCCCCAUAUUAUUAAUGAAUGUGUUUAAAGGCUAUCCUCCGAUCUUUCCUCUAUUCUGAUGAGCAAUCAUUCACUACUUUGUCUUUUCUGAUUUCUUUACUAGUUUAAAACCCAUUCAUUUAUUUAAAUCAACUCAUUCAUGGUGGGUUGUGUAGGAAAAUUACCUGUCUCUUGAGAUAAAUACAUCCCGAUGCUAGGAACUAUUUCUAGAGCCUGUCUUGUCUGUUCCAGCCUAUUUCAGAAUCACUGACUAGCCUGUAACAUGAUCUGUGAGAGGUGUCUCCUGGGCAUAAGUUUUUUUAUUUUAUUUUUUAAUGUUUAUUUUUUUUUAUUUUACCUGUUUAAUGGGUGUUUUGCCUGCAUGGAUGUCUGUGCACCAUGUGAAUGUCUUGCACCGCUGUAGGAUUCCUUGGAACCAAAGUUAUACAUCUUUGUUAGCUAGCUUCCAUGUGAUCCUUCCAGCCUCUAUUUUUAUUUUAUUUUUGAAACAGGGCUCAUUAGGUAGGCCUGACUGGUCUGGAACUCUCAGAGAACCAGAGACUUCUGCCUCCUGGAUGCUGGGGUCAAAUGUGCUGAGCACCACGCAUGGCCCCCUGAGUUCCUGGCAUUUUUUGAUAAUUCAGGAGAAGAGGUAUGGACUUGCAUUUUAGAAUUUCAAUGUAGGUCAUGUUCAUAGAUCUUGCACAUCAAUGAAGCAGAAUAAUUUCUACUAGCCUGGUUGGGAAGCAAGUUUCUUUCAUCAGCGAUGAUUUGGCUUCUCUGUUCUUCUCAUCUGAAUACUUUGUGGAUUUCAGUUAUUCACUUGGCCUCUAAAUCCAGACAGCAUUUUUCUUUUUAGCAAAGCUGAGAUUGUGGGAUGUGAGGAAAGACCUUAAAUUCUCAGAGAACCUUUAAGAUUUUACUUCAGAACCGAACAAGGCUAUGAUUAAAAACUGGUCAAAAAUGUGGACAAACUUUUAUCCCGAAGGCUCCAGCUCACCUAUUUAAAAUAGUUUGGAAUAUGUUUGGCUCCUGGAGGAGGCUGUUAAAGGCCUGGCUGUGGGAACAUGAAGCCGCGUAUGCCCUUUGGCCAGAGUGACUUCAGGUGUCCUCCAGCUUCCUUCCUUUUGAAUUAUGAUGGCACAUUCCUCCCUCCUCCCGUGUAUUCUUCUUGUCACUUUUGACUGAUAAAACAACGGCUAUGAAACUGGAAAGUUGAGCAACUAUGCACUUGUUUCAUCUACUCUGUGCCAGGAAAUGUCUUUGUUUGGGAAGAUCUAUCCAUUCAUCAAAAUCCUGGAGACACACACCAGUGAUUCAGUCAGUAAGAGUCAGGCUAGAGUACCUCAGGCCACGCAGCCCCUACAAACCCAGCAGCCGUGUGAACUUCACGUCAUGGUCCAGCUGAGUCCCACACUCUUCAGAUACAGGUAGGGUCUACCAAUUCCCCUAUCAUUAACUUGGCUGGUGCACAUCUGCGUGGGCACCUUCAGGGAAUGCAGGCUAGAGAUCCACCUAGCUACAUUUGAGGAAAGUUCUAGGUCCCCUUGUUCCCCCCCUCAAUGCCUUGGGAAAACAAUGGAGUGGUAGUUGGUUAAAUGGUACCUUCUAAGUCUUCUAAAGUCUCAGCAAAAAGAAAGUGGAGUCAACAAAGAGCUGGCUAAUGAGACUGGAGAGAUGGCUCAGUGGUUAAGAGCAGUGGCCGCUCUUCCAGAGGACUUAGGGUUCUAUUCCCAGCACUCACGACAGCUCACAAUUGUCUGUAACUCCAGUUCCAGGGUAUCCAACACCCUUUUCAGGCCUCUUUGGGCUCCAGGCAUGCACAUGGUGCAUAGACAUAGAUGCAAGCAAAACACCCGUACCAUAAAAAUUUAGUUUAGAAAGAAAGAACUAAAGAGCUAACUCAAAGCCCCUCUUGCAACAAAGCCAGGAGUGGAGGAAAUACCAAUCAACAAUGAGGACCGAAAGUCAAGAAUUCAGACACAAGGGGAAUUCUUUGCAGUCUCUCUUCCCUCUACAAAACACAGGGAGUGGUGCUGGCUGUAAACGCUGAACCAGGCUCUUCCAGUGGGCCUAUGCAGGCCGACAGUCCAUGCCACACUAGACUCUUCAACACUGUCUGGCUUAAGUCAGUGUUUGUCACUGUUAUUCUCAUGCUACUGUGCUGGCUCCGAGCAGAGCUGACCCACAGGAUUGCUAGGAUUCAAGCCGAUGCUCCCUGACUGCCAAGCACAAUCCUAGUCAGUCCUCUUUGUUGCCAUCUUCAGAUGCUCCAUUGCCCACUGGGCGGUUUUCCAAUGGUGAGGACGGGGGGAGGGGGGAGGUCUGUUCUGGGAACCAGUCGUGCCUGAUGGACAGUGCAACUUCCAUGAUAUUUUUGAUGAGGAAAGACUGAAUGGGGGUGAGGGUUAGCCCCAGAGAAGCAGAAGAAGAGAAGUGUUUGAGGAGAGAAGUAGACAAGCUGCACCUGAGACUGAACAGGUCUCGAGGAAAGAGGACCCUGCUAGAGGGACAGGGAAGAUCCUGGGGGUUUGGGGUGUGGGGGAGGUGGCUAAUAGCCAGCAACUCUCAUAGCCAAGUGUAAGCUCUGUAUAGGCAACAGAACAAUUCUAUUUCCCCUGAUGCUACUUUUUUCCUAGCUCUAAGUGAAGUCUGGGGCCAUUCCCACCACCCUUUCAGCCUCUUGGUUGCCCCCAAUAUAUCAUGUCAGCAGUUUAAGCAUCUAGCUGAGGAUAACAGUCAUUAAACAUCCAGCUGAGGAUUACAGUCAAAGUUACAGCUUCUCCUCCCCUUUGAGUCAGGCCUGUCGCCAGCUAGGAGGCUAGCUGCAGAGUUGAGGUAGGAUCUUGCUGACUUCUUGCCUUUUUUGUGACCUCUUUUUGUCCUCGCUGAGAUUGCCAUCUCCUCUGGGGGAGGCAGGGUGCAGAAGAAGAGGGGUAGAAGAAUGGCUCAGUCAUAGAUGGCAUGUCCUAGUAAGACCUGGCAUUGCUGCUUAGAGUUAGUGCUCUGAGUAGUGUCCAUGUUUCAUGUACCAAUGAUGGAGGUUGCCUGGAUGUUGUUCUGAACUGCAGUUCUAGCCCCGUCUAUUCCAUUUACCAGCUGACCAUUGCCAACACACGUCUCCCGCAUUUCCCGAGCCUACACUUCAGCUCCUGGACUUUCUCAGCCCACCGUUCAGCCCGUGGAAGCACUCCCCAGGACAUUUCCUCUUCUCUGCACUCUCCUCUACCUUUUCUGUCAUCCAGAGCACGAGCUUCAGCUUCCUGCUGUGGGAUUCCUCCAGUCUUUCAUACUCCAGUGACAUCUCAUGUUUUGCAAGAGACUAGCAAGUUGUCUAACACUAGCCCCAGAGUUGGCCUCAGACUCUUGCAAAUCGUGAGCAGGGGUCCUUCAUACAUACUGGGGAAUAAGGAGGCAGCUAUUGCACUGUUCUGUUGCAGGCAAAUGAAGAGGGGAGGUUCACCUUGCCACUUAUCACCCCAGACACCAGAAGAAAGCACUGCACUACCAACGGAGGUUCUUUGGGGAGGUAUGGUGGUGCCAUGGUGGGUGGUCCAGAGACCCUGUCAGAUUUUGUUCUAAGAGAAAGUCUAGGAAAGUUCAUACAUGAGAAGUUGAUUCUUGUCAGUUGUUUUGUAAAAUGUCCCUGAAUUUCUGUCACAUGUUUUUGGCCUAAGAGCAGCCUUGUUAAGAUUAAAGUCCUCCUGCUCACAGCUGGGAUGCAUGUACAUAACUCAGUUUCCCACGGAGUACAAUUAUAGCCAGGUGAAACUUUGAUUCAUAGAAAGAUGAGGAAGAAGGCAGGGCUGGAGAAGGCUACAUUGAAGGUGAAGUUAUGAUGUCUCAGAGAGACCUCAGGCAGUAGAGGCCACUGUUCUUGCACAGACCACAGUGUCUGUGCACACUGGCCAUGUAAACUGGGUAUUGUUCUUGGCUGGUAAGUUUUGCAGUUUGACUCUUUGACUCUCUGAGGGAUUCUUAGUUACCUAACACAUUUCAAGCAGUCAUUUCUUAGUAAGAAGGGGUUUCAGCUGCUUCAAGUAAAGUGAGGUACAUCCCUGCACUCUCUGUGUUGAUGUGCAAAGCUGUCUGCAAUCCCCUAAAUGAGCCUAGUGUCUCUAUACAGGGCACUCCUGUGUCCAUACCAUUUCCUCUGUACAACUUUCCUCCAAGUCCUGUCCUUCAUGGGCACAGUUAGGAGACCUUGGGCUGUAACUAACAUAGAAAUGUUCAGAAAUGUCUUAAACAAUUACACUUUUUUUCAUAGAGAAGAAAUGUUUACCGUUACAAAAAUUAGAAAAAGAACUACCAUACAAUUCUACACAUCUGGUAAAAGGAUUGAAAGCAGAGUGUUCAUUAAUCUCCACAGAAGCAUCAUUCACAGUAGCCAAAAAGUGGAAGCAACUAAGCACCCACUAAAAGAUGAAUGGAAAAACAAAGUUUAGUGUAGACAUACAACGGAAUAUUACUCAAUUGUAAAAGAGAAGGAAGUUUUGACACAUGCGAUAAUAUGGACACACUUCAAGGACAUUGUGCUAAGCAAAAUAAGCUAGUUACAAAACACAAACUGUGAUUCUACUUAUAUGUGGUGCUUAAGGGGUUCAAGUUCAUACAGACAGAAAUAGAAUGGGAUUUUCAGGAACUGGUGAAGAGAGUACUAGGGAGUCACUGUCUGAUGGGUAGAGGUUGAGGUUUUUUUUGCAUGGAAAGAACUCUGAAGUGGAUAAUAGUAAAAGUUGUAAAACAAGGUGAAUGUCCUCAGCUACUGAACUAUAUACAUGCUUACCGAUGUUAAGAUGAUGAUCUUAGAAACAAUUUUAUUUUGUGUGUGUAAAUUUUUUGCCUGAAUGUGUGUGUGUAUAGUGCAUGCAAAGGCGAGGGGGAGGUGUUAGAUCCCUUGGAAUUGGGGUCACAGGUGGUUAUGAGUCACCACAUGGUUGCUGAGAACCAAACCUGGGUCCUCUGAACGAGCAGCAUAGCCAUCUCUCUGGGCCCGGGCCCGGAGAACACAUUUUAUGUUAUAUGCAUUUAUCAUAGUGGGGGGGGGAGAAUGAAAGAAAGAAAGGAAGGAAAGAAAGAAGGAAAGAAAGAAAGAAAGAAAGAAAGAAAGAAAGAAAGAAAGAAAGAAAGAAAUCAUUAAGGUUGUGGGUGCCCCUGGGGAGUUAACAUCUUCCUAAUCUUAACGUUUGUUUCAUAGUCACAAGAUGGCUAUUGUAGCUGGAAAUACCUGCAUCUGAUCUUGGAGUACUCUGACCAGGAUUUCCUACUGAAUCAUUCUGAAUGUGUCAACUGUCUUAGUCUAAUCAUUGUUAAUGGGCCCAAAGACAGGCACAUCAUCAUCAGAUAACCAGCACUGCUUGUUACCAGGUAUUCUGGACCAAAUCAAUGUUUUACUGUGAGAGAGUGGAUCACUAUCCAUGAAGUCAGAGAGUUCUGUCCACCACAGCAUGUCUUCCAACUAUAUUGCCUGUGUUCAACUGAAAAUAUUUCAAUCCAUUUACCAUCCCAAACUUAAUUUUCUGAAUCUGCCCCAUAGACCUGCCUUUUUCCUUUGGGCUAGUAUAAGACCCUGGCUACACAGACAUUGCCUGCAGUGCUCAUAGAAAACUCAUAAGUCCUCUUUGUUCAGCUGUGUGUGCAGUUCUCAAAAACUGGAUAAUACUGUGACUUUGGCUCAGAAGUGCUUGGGAAACAAAACGGACAGAGGAGGCAUCAACUAAACGUUUAAGAAUGAGUGGAUGAACAAAGACAUGAGAUGGGAUGCUCAGAGAAACUGCUAACAGAUGUGCCAGAACUCUGAGCUUACAGAUGAGCUAAGAGAGACCAGAGCUCAUCCCAGAGCCAGAGGGGUCAAGCAAGAGCUUUGCUGAAAGUUUAGGGGCAGAAGGAAGGCAAAGUGUCAGAAGUCAGGUGAGAAAGAAGAAAGGGAAAGAGGCAAGAUCUGUGGUUAGUCCUCACCCUGGGUUGGGCUAUGUGUCACAAGCAACUCAUAGUUGGUAGAGUGCAGAGGAAGACAGGAGCUCUCUGGCCACACACUGUUGUUAACAGUGGCUUGGAUCUAAACAUCUUCCGUUUUUGUGGGUUGUUGCAGAAUGUAGGAAAGUGAAUACAAAGCUGUAAGCCACUUUUAGACUUAUGAAAAAAAUCUCCAGGUAGCCUUAUCAUUCUGUGGCUACAAAUGAAUCCAAAGUUGUCCAACUUGCCACUACCUGCUCAAAUAAUUCAAUCUCUCCUCAGUUAUUGCUUCCCAGGAGGGCCAUGGGGUUGCCCUUGGCAUCUUGGGGUUGGGUUAUAUGGCACGAGGUAGAUGGAAUGGCUAUGUUCUUCCUUCCCAGCUCUGGCUUCUUGUGUCUCAUAAUAGGACUCUCACUGUUUUGUGAUGCCUGCUAUGAGGUCAAGACCCAAGCCAAGAGCAUCAUGUUUCAGAACCCAUGGGGCAUCCAGGUAACAGAAAAAGCUGGCAAGAAUGGUUACUCUUCCAUUUCUAGGCCCAAAGUAGCACUGUGUAUGCUGGAAAACUUAUAAAACAGUUAACAGCUCUAAGUUUUCCCUCGUUCACCAUCAGGACUACACUAGUCUAAAAUGCUAGGCUACAGGUGUGACUUUCGUGUCAUUGUCAAAGCAACCAAUAUCCUUCAACUUCUCCCUUUUGUAUUCCAGUCUCCUUGGUAGCUAGGGCUGGUUAUAUGACUCAGUGAGACUUGAGAGUGAGUUUACUUUGAUCUUCCAAAAGUCUUUGCUUUCUCCACUAGAAAGGACACAUAGACUGUAACCAUUUCUCCUAUGGCCCUGCCAUCUUCCUUUGUUGAACAAGGAUAAAUGCCUAAAAAUCCCACAGCCAUCUUGUGAUCACAAGGAAAAAGCUUAAGAGAGCCCUGACUAGCCGGGCAGUGGUGGCGCAGGCCUUUAAUCCCAGCACUCAGGAGGCAGAGGCAAGGGGAUCUCUGUGAGUUCAAUACCAGCCUGGUCUACAAGAGCUAGUUCCAGGACAGCCUCCAAAGCCACAGAGAAACCCUGUCUCUAAAACCCACCCGCCUCCAAAGAAAGAGAACGCUGACUCCAGUGCUUUUGGAGAGAGACAGAGACAAAGGGACAGAGAGAGACUGACUGCUCUCUGUCUAGGCCACCAGAUGUCAGUUAUUGAAGCCAGAGGCAUGCUCCUCUUGGUUACACCUUUAACUCUUGCACAUCAUGUGCUGAUGCUGUGACCCCCAUCUCAUAGGGGCCAAGUUGUUCAUUCACAAAUCACCUGAUGGACAGUGGUCCGGAGUCAUCAAGAGUGGCCUUGCCUGCUGUUGGUUGUUGCUGAAGGAAAGAGGGUCUGGAAUUAAACAGGAAUUCUUCCACAUUAAUGGUUUUUAUGAACCCAGUGUCUAUCUGUAUUACCAGAUAAGAACUGAUAUGAGGGACUAGUGAGGUGACCCAGAAGGUAAAGACACCUACCACCAAGACUGACAAUUUGAGUUUGAUUUCCAGGACCUACCUGGUAGGAGGAGAGAAAGCACUCCCCAAAGUGCUUGUCUGACCUCCACAAGUACCAUGUGCUCUCCAUCCCCCACCUUUUGUGAUCUUUCACACAUAUGCACACAUCAAAUAAAUAUAAUAAACUUUUUUAAAAAACUAA